UGCCCGCGCUGCUCAUCACGGGCAGCUCCCCUCUAUAAAUUCGUGUAUUAUGGAGUGGAAAGUAGUUUGCCGCUGUCACUCUUUGAGGUGUCUUUUGUAGGGAGAGAUUCCUUUUUCCUUUCCCACUUCGCGUCCAAGAUCUGCAACAAAUCUUCAAGGAAAAAUGGGAUCCAAUUUCGUGUCCAAGGAAGACCACCAUCACCAGGCUCCGUCGCGGCGGGGCGUUAGGAGGACCUGGUCCUCCAACUCGUCCACGUGCGGCCAGGGCGUCGCCGCUGUCCCCAAGUGCGUGUGUGCUCCAGCCACUCAUGCGGGCUCCUUUAAGUGCCGCCUCCACCGGGCGAGCUCCCACGGCCACUCGCCCCCCUCCCCCACCUCGAUCCGUCCGCCGCCGCCGUCCGCGAACUCCUCUCGCGCUCCCACCGUGGAAGCCCAGUGACUCGAACGAGGGCCAGAGCGAGGAAGAACUGUUAAAGAAGGGAAACAUUUGGUGAUUCCCGAUGGCUAGCGAGAGUUUUCAUCUUGGCAUGGUGUAUUGUGUUUUCCACCCAUACUCUGCUUACUGCAGCUUCCUUAUUUUAUUUUGUACGGAAGAAACAGCACCGAGUGUGAUUAGUGUUGUAAUUAGUUCUAUCUCCCAAUCGCCAGCUGUGAGAGAUGUUGCCUACUCCAGUAAUUUCUUUCUAUCUUCUUGUUGUUGAAGCUGUUCUUGUAAAUAUGAUCUGUUUCUACUUUCUAAAGCCAAAAAAACACAAAAGGCAUCAGUGUUCUAAUC